rnacentral:rRNA from 1 species
UGACUGAGUGGCGGACGGGUGAGUAACGCGUGAGCAACCUGCCCUUCGGAGGGGGAUAGUGUCUGGAAACGGACAGUAAUACCGCAUAACGUAGUUUUUACCGCAUGAUAGAAAUACCAAAACUGAGGUGCCGAAGGAUGGGCUCGCGUUGGAUUAGAUAGUUGGUGGGGUAACGGCCUACCAAGUCGACGAUCCAUAACCGGACUGAGAGGUUGAACGGCCACAUUGGGACUGAGACACGGCCCAGACUCCUACGGAAGGCAGCAG